rnacentral:rRNA from 1 species
UCAGGACGAACGCUGGCGGCGUGCCUAAUACAUGCAAGUCGUGCGGACCUUUUAAAAGCUUGCUUUUAAAAGGUUAGCGGCGGACGGGUGAGUAACACGUGGGCAACCUGCCUGUAAGAUCGGGAUAACGCCGGGAAACCGGGGCUAAUACCGGAUAGUUUUUUCCUCCGCAUGGAGGAAAAAGGAAAGACGGCUUUUGCUGUCACUUACAGAUGGGCCCGCGGCGCAUUAGCUAGUUGGUGGGGUAACGGCUCACCAAGGCAACGAUGCGUAGCCGACCUGAGAGGGUGAUCGGCCACAUUGGGACUGAGACACGGCCCAAACUCCUACGGGAGGCAGCAGUAGGGAAUCUUCCGCAAUGGACGAAAGUCUGACGGAGCAACGCCGCGUGAGUGAAGAAGGCCUUCGGGUCGUAAAACUCUGUUGCCGGGGAAGAACAAGUGCCGUUCGAACAGGGCGGCGCCUUGACGGUACCCGGCCAGAAAGCCACGGCUAACUACGUGCCAGCAGCCGCGGUAAUACGUAGGUGGCAAGCGUUGUCCGGAAUUAUUGGGCGUAAAGCGCGCGCAGGCGGCUUCUUAAGUCUGAUGUGAAAUCUUGCGGCUCAACCGCAAGCGGUCAUUGGAAACUGGGAGGCUUGAGUGCAGAAGAGGAGAGUGGAAUUCCACGUGUAGCGGUGAAAUGCGUAGAGAUGUGGAGGAACACCAGUGGCGAAGGCGGCUCUCUGGUCUGUAACUGACGCUGAGGCGCGAAAGCGUGGGGAG